AGACCGGGUUAGGGCCCUGAACGGAAGGGUGCUAGAUUUGUCGGGAUGAAUGAUGGAAACGGACUUAUCCGGCCUCGGGGUUUGAGCGAGGCUUGGGUAGACCGGUAAGGGAAAACUCAAACACGAGUGGGCUGUCCGAUAAUGGGAAAUUGUCCGUGAACAAAAUUCGAUCUCAUAUUUCUGGUACCCAUCCAGGUGUGGUCGGGCUCAGAGAUGGUGGCAGAUUGGGAUAUUGCUAUUGACACGGGCCCCUCGUAUCAUGGCGGUCCUGAUGUUCUGUCCCAAGCGUAUACCGGGUUGCAGCGGUAUACGAAAAGUUGCCUUGAGGUCAUGACAAUGGCCUCCCCCUCCCCCUCUGAAAAUAGGGGCUCAGGAAUGACAUGACGUUACGUCGUGAACGUAGUGGUUCCUGAGGCUGCAAGACCGGGUUAGGGCCGUGAAUGGAAAGGUGCCAGAUUUGUGGGACGAAUGAUGGAAAUGGACUUGUCCUGGCCUCGGGUUUGAGCAAGGCCAGGUAGCUGGGUAAGGAAAAAUCUCAAACAUGAGUGGGCUGUCCGAUAACGGGAAAUGGCCGUGAACAGAAUUUGAUCACAUAUUUCCGGUAACUAACCAGAUGCGGUCGGGUUAUGAUGUUGCCGUGCUAUGCAGACCUUUGGUCAUCAUCCAUAACGUAGACUGAUCGUGUGCUGCAUGAUUGGAUGCUUGGAC
rnacentral:misc_RNA from 1 species